UACGUAGGUGGCAAGCGUUGUCCGGAGUUAUUGGGCGUAAAGCGCGCGCAGGCGGUGCGGUAAGUCUCUGGUGAAAGCGCUCGGCUUAACUGGGCGAGGGCCGGGGAGACUGCCACGCUGGAGGGGAGCAGAGGCGAGUGGAAUUCCGGGUGUAGUGGUGAAAUGCGUAGAGAUCCGGAGGAACACCAGUGGCGAAGGCGGCCUCCUGGGCCAGCACUGACGCUCAUGCACGAAAGCGUGGGGAGCAAACAGG
rnacentral:rRNA from 1 species